GGCCAGCAGCCGCGGUAAUACGAAGGUGGCAAGCGUUGUUCGGAAUCACUGGGCUUAAAGAGUACGUAGGCGGCCCAUCAAGUGCUUUGUGAAAUCCCCCGGCUCAACCGGGGAAUUGCUGAGCAUACUGUAGGGCUUGAGGCAGGUAGGGGCGCGUGGAACUCUUGGUGGAGCGGUGGAAUGCGUAGAUAUCAAGAGGAACGCCGGUGGCGAAAGCGAUGCGCUGGGCCUGUCCUGACGCUGAGGUACGAAAGCUAGGGGAGCAAACGGGAUUAGAUACCCCGGUAGUCCUAGCCAUAAACUAUGUCUACUAGGUCGGAGUCACUCUGACGUGUUUCCGGCCAAAACAAAAGCAUUAAGUAGACCGCCUGGGGAGUACGGUCGCAAGGCUAAAACUCAAAGGAAUUGACGGGGGCCCGCACAAGC
rnacentral:rRNA from 1 species